AGCGAACGCUGGCGGCAGGCCUAACACAUGCAAGUCGAACGAGACCUUCGGGUCUAGUGGCGGACGGGUGAGUAACACGUGGGAACGUGCCUUUAGGUUCGGAAUAACUCAGGGAAACUUGUGCUAAUACCGAAUGUGCCCUUCGGGGGAAAGAUUUAUCGCCUUUAGAGCGGCCCGCGUCUGAUUAGCUAGUUGGUGAGGUAAUGGCUCACCAAGGCUACGAUCAGUAGCUGGUAUGAGAGGAUGAUCAGCCACAUUGGGACUGAGACACGGCCCAAACCCCUACGGGAGGCAGCAGUGGGGAAUCUUGCGCAAUGGGCGAAAGCCUGACGCAGCCAUGCCGCGUGUAUGAUGAAGGUCUUAGGAUUGUAAAAUACUUUCACCGGUGAAGAUAAUGACUGUAGCCGGAGAAGAAGCCCCGGCUAACUUCGUGCCAGCAGCCGCAGUAAAAC
rnacentral:rRNA from 1 species